rnacentral:rRNA from 1 species
UACGAAGGGGGCUAGCGUUGUUCGGAAUUACUGGGCGUAAAGCGUGUGUAGGCGGUUGUCCAAGUUGGAUGUGAAAGCCUUGAGCUUAACUCAAGAAAUGCAUUCAGGACUGGAUGACUAGAGGACCGGAGAGGAUAGUGGAAUUCCCAGUGUAGUGGUGAAAUACGUAGAGAUUGGGAAGAACACCAGUGGCGAAGGCGGCUAUCUGGACGGUUUCUGACGCUAAGACGCGAAAGCGUGGGGAGCAAACAGG